rnacentral:rRNA from 1 species
CAGUUAGUUGGUGAGGUAACGGCUCACCAAGACCACGAUCAGUAGGGGAUCUGAGAGGAUUAACCCCCACACGGAUACUGAGACACGGAUCCGACUCCUACGGGAGGCAGCAGUAAGGAAUAUUGGACAAUGCCCGCAAGGGUGAUCCAGCCAUGCCGCGUGCAGGAAGACGGCCCUAUGGGUUGUAAACUGCUUUUACACCGGAGAAAACCUCCCCUCGUGAGGGGAGCUGAUAGUAUGGUGAGAAUAAGCAUCGGCUAACUUCGUGCCAGCAGCCGCGGUAAGACGAAGGAUGCAAGCGUUAUCCGGAUUCAUUGGGUUUAAAGGGAGCGUAGGUGGCCUUAUAAGUCAGUGGUGAAAUCCUGUUGCUUAACAACAGAAUUGCCAUUGAUACUGUAGGGCUUGAGUAUAGUUGCCGUUGGCGGAAUAUGACAUGUAGUGGUGAAAUACAUAGAGAUGUCAUAGAACACCGAUUGCGAAGGCAGCUAACGAAACUAUAACUGACACUGAGGCUCGAAAGUGCGGGGAUCAAACAGGAUUAGAUACCCUGGUAGUCCGCACUGUAAACGAUGAUUACUCGCUGCUAGGGGGCAACUCUUA